rnacentral:rRNA from 1 species
UACGGAGGAGGCAAGCGUUAUCCGGAAUUGUUGGGCGUAAAGCGUCCGUAGGUGGCCAUGCAAGUCUGCUGUCAAAGCAUGGAGCUUAACUCCAUAGAGGCAGUGGAAACUGAAUAGCUAGAGUUCGGUAGGGGUAGCGGGAAUUCCCAGUGUAGCGGUGAAAUGCGUAGGGAUUGGGAAGAACAUCGGUGGCGAAAGCGCGCUACUGGGCCGAAACUGACACUGAGGGCGGAAAGGUAGGGGAGCGAAAGGU